AUCAGUUUUCCCAGCUCUGCUGUCUGUGUUGCAGCCCGAGCUCAGGUGGGGGUGUACGUGCUGGGGUCCUCAGUCCUGCCUGCGGUCAGUGCCAUUGCUCUCACUGCAGAGCUCAUCCUCAAGGCAGAAAAAGGCCGCCGCACUCUGACAGACCUGCGCUUGGUGGUCUUGCCCUGUCAGAUCCUCCUCGUUGUCUGCUGGCUUGUCUUGCUGAUGUGUGCGGACUAUAAGGAGGAGAAGAACAGGUGAGUAGAGUUUCUCAUAGUAUAGUAAGUAUUUAUCUUCACUUUAUAGUGUUCAUAAGGCAGUGCUUUUAAUUCUGAAAGUGUUAUUUAUCACUGUGCAGUAUUUAGGUCAGUUUCCUUAUCAGCAAAUAUUAUGUAAGCAACCUUAAAACCAGUCUGUGUAAUUGUACCCAGAUUAGUAACAUAGCUCAAUCAGAGACUUCAGAUCUGUAAUAAUAUAACAUACAAAUAUAGAUUUACUGACAAAUAUACAGAUUUAAUUACCAGAUUAUACAUCUAUUUGAAUAUAUUUUAAGACCAUAUUAAAAGUCUUGUUACAUCAUGUCUCUUUUUUCCCUGAGAUCACAAACUGAAUCUCAAGAGCCAUCAGGACAAAAUACCCACAAUACACA
rnacentral:lncRNA from 1 species